AUCAUUAUUUAUAUUAUCGUUAGUGUUAAUUUUUAAAUUAAUGUUCAUAUCCUUAUUGUUGGGUAG
rnacentral:antisense_RNA from 1 species